CUUUGGCCAGCGGCGCCCUCCCCCGCCGGGGCAGCCCACCCGCAAGCCCCGCCCCGAAGGCUGGAGCUUCCCUGGGGGUGGGCGAAGCCGAGGCCACGCCCCGAAGGCGGGAGCGGCUUUGGGGAGGGACCUGGCCGCCCUCAGGGCUCCAGCGCCAAGUUCAGAGCCACGCGCUGUGCUCUUGGCCGGGAGGAGGCUGUGCUGCCCCAGCACCUCUUGUUCCACAUCUCCAGAGAGCCCAGAUGAUGCUAUUGUUGGAACCUGGGAAUGUCGGAAGGAGUAGCUGAGGAAAAGAGCUGCUGUUCCUUGUGCUCUUGCUACCUGGCAUGUACAGAGCCCUGUUGAGUCCCGUCCGUGAGUGCCUGAAGUGAAGAUCACUGUUCUUGUUUUACUUAUGAAGAGAUGGAGGCCCAGAGUAUUUGUCUGAGGCAGGUAAUAGCAGGGCUGAUUUGGAACACAAGUUGUGCCCUGGAGCCUGAGUGACCAGGGCUAAUUCAGUCCCAUUAUGUGACUUCCAUGUUGCUGCAGCC
rnacentral:lncRNA from 1 species